rnacentral:lncRNA from 1 species
CUUACAAAAAAAACGAUAAAUAGAAUAGGUGUUUAAUACAACAUAAUAUUUAAUGGGAUGGGUGGGCUGAUUUUUCGGCACAAUUUCUCUCAAAUCGAGAUGUCAUGGAAGAUAUGGCUACUGGCCAUUCUUUUUCCAUCACUAAACCAGAUGGAUAUUUUGUCUUUAAAACAGCUACGGCAAAGUUUCUGGAUACACGGAUAUAACUCUUUUGGCAAUUUAUUUAUUUUUCGACAGCAAACUGAAUUUAUUUUUUCUUUGUUUAUCUGAAAAAUGAUGUUUUUGUUAAUUCUUGCGCGACCCACAG